UACGAAGGGGGCUAGCGUUGCUCGGAAUCACUGGGCGUAAAGCGCACGUAGGCGGCUUUCUAAGUCAGGGGUGAAAUCCUGGAGCUCAACUCCAGAACUGCCUUUGAUACUGGAGAGCUUGAGUCCGGAAGAGGUGAGUGGAACUCCGAGUGUAGAGGUGAAAUGCGUAGAUACUGGGAGGAACACCAGUGGCGAAGGCGGCUACCUGGACCGGUUCUGACGCUGAGGCGCGAAAGCGUGGGUAGCAAACAGG
rnacentral:rRNA from 1 species